GAGCAGGGUAAGUGUAGUCCCUGAGCCCCUCAGCCAUGGUCAAUUCGAGGGGGGAGUGUGAUCACUGUGAUCACAAUCCGCCCACCCACCCAUAUAGGAACAAUAACAUUAGCAGCAGCCACUCUGCCCCACUGCAGCACAGCACACUGUGCAGCAUGUGCUGUGCUGCCAACACGAGAGCUGCUGCUGCUGCCCAGUAAGGUGGGAGGGGGUUAGGAGUGCAGGGGACCAGGGCCCUUCCAUCAGUGCCAGGCCCAAGUAAUUAGUACCCGCUCCCUCCCCCUCUCUGGGUCACUGACAACAUCCUACAGAGCCACUGGAGUAACGGAGCCUGUGAGAAACCGGAGAAGAAGGGAGAGGAGGAGCAGCGCCUGAGCCGGGACCUCCUGCAGGCAGAACCAACUACACCAAAUUGAAAGUUACUUUUAGGGAAGAAAAAGAACGAUGAAAGAAGAAAUUGCGGGAUGUUGGAACUAUUAAUGCUGUGUUGGAACGUUUAAUGUAUUUUUUUACAUUUUCAAAAAUGUCAUUUAAUUACAUCUUAUUCUUUUGACAUUAACUUCAUGUUGUUGAUCAGGAAAAUGGUAAUAAAAAUGGUCCUGAGACGGACGCCAUGCCAAUA